rnacentral:rRNA from 1 species
UACGUAGGCAGCAAGCGUUGUUCGGAGUUACUGGGCGUAAAGGGUGUGUAGGCGGUUCUUUAAGUUUGGUGUGAAAUCUCCCGGCUCAACCGGGAGGGUGCGCCGAAUACUGAGGGACUAGAGUGCGGGAGAGGAAAGUGGAAUUCCUGGUGUAGCGGUGAAAUGCGUAGAUAUCAGGAGGAACACCGGUGGUGUAGACGGCUUUCUGGACCGUAACUGACGCUGAGACACGAAGGCGUGGGUAGCAAACAGG